GACGAACGCUGACGGCGUGCCUAACACAUGCAAGUCGAGCGAGGAGAGUUCCUUCGGGAACAAACCUAGCGGCGGACGGGUGAGUAACACGUGGGCAACCUGCCUUGUAGAGGGAAUAGCCUUCCGAAAGGAAGAUUAAUACCGCAUAACAUUACAGUUUCGCAUGAAACAGUAAUUAAAGGAGUAAUCCGCUACAAGAUGGGGCCCGCGGCGCAUUAGCUAGUUGGUGAGGUAACGGCUCACCAAGGCGACGAUGCGUAGCCGACCUGAGAGGGUGAUCGGCCACAUUGGGACUGAGACACGGCCCAGACUUCUACGGGAGGCAGCAGUGGGGAAUAUUGCACAAUGGGGGAAACCCUGAUGCAGCAACGCCGCGUGAGUGAUGAAGGUUUUCGGAUCGUAAAGCUCUGUCUUCGGGGACGAUAAUGACGGUACCCGAGGAGGAAGCCACGGCUAACUACGUG
rnacentral:rRNA from 1 species